GCAUCGAUGAAGAACGCAGCCAAAUGCGAUAUCUAGUGCGAAUUGCAUGAAUCUGUGAGUCAUCUAGUAUUUGAACGCAACUUGCGCCGAUUUUCGGCAUGUUCCGUUGAGGGCGUGUGCACAAUGAUGGAUUUAUCUGACAUGGCUGUUGUGUGUGGCUCGCUGCACACUCGGUCUAAUAGGAGCAAGGAAAUGGAGGGUUCUAGGGAACCGAGUGCCAAGCGACUGCCAAGCAUUCUUGGGAUUCUAGACCAUCCAAUUACAUCACUUUACGCCUCAACUGGAGCAGGAUUACCCGCUGAACUUAAGCAUAUCAAUAAGCGGAGGA
rnacentral:rRNA from 1 species